AUAAACUGGGAUUAGAUACCCCACUAUGCCCAGCCCUAAACAUUGACAACCCCCCACACCCGUUGUCCGCCCGGGUACUACGAGCAUUAGCUUAAAACCCAAAGGACUUGGCGGUGCUUUAGAUCCACCUAGAGGAGCCUGUUCUAGAACCGAUACUCCCCGUUAAACCUCACCCCUUCUUGUUCUUACCGCCUAUAUACCACCGUCGUCAGCUUACCCUGUGAAGGAUUAGUAGUAAGCAGAGUUGUCACAACCCAAAACGUCAGGUCGAGGUGUAGUGUAUGAAGGGGGAAGAAAUGGGCUACAUUCUCUAUUUAAGAGAAUACGGAUGGUGUACUGAAAAAAUACAUCUGAAGGAGGAUUUAGUAGUAAGCGGAAAGCAGAGUGUUCCGCUGAAAAUGGC
rnacentral:rRNA from 1 species